UACGAAGGGGGCUAGCGUUGUUCGGAUUUACUGGGCGUAAAGCGCACGUAGGCGGAUCGUUAAGUCAGGGGUGAAAUCCUGGAGCUCAACUCCAGAACUGCCUUUGAUACUGGCGAUCUUGAGUCCGGAAGAGGUGGGUGGAACUCCUAGUGUAGAGGUGGAAUUCGUAGAUAUUAGGAAGAACACCAGUGGCGAAGGCGGCUCACUGGUCCGGUACUGACGCUGAGGUGCGAAAGCGUGGGGAGCAAACAGG
rnacentral:rRNA from 1 species